GAUGAACGCUGGCGGCGUGCCUAAUACAUGCAAGUCGAGCGAACAGAUAAGGAGCUUGCUCCUUUGAAGUUAGCGGCGGACGGGUGAGUAACACGUGGGUAACCUACCUAUAAGACUGGGAUAACUUCGGGAAACCGGAGCUAAUACCGGAUAACAUUUAGAACCGCAUGGUUCUAAAGUGAAAGAUGGUUUUGCUAUCACUUAUAGAUGGACCCGCGCCGUAUUAGCUAGUUGGUAAGGUAACGGCUUACCAAGGCGACGAUACGUAGCCGACCUGAGAGGGUGAUCGGCCACACUGGAACUGAGACACGGUCCAGACUCCUACGGGAGGCAGCAGUAGGGAAUCUUCCGCAAUGGGCGAAAGCCUGACGGAGCAACGCCGCGUGAGUGAUGAAGGGUUUCGGCUCGUAAAACUCUGUUAUUAGGGAAGAACAAAUGUGUAAGUAACUGUGCACAUCUUGACGGUACCUAAUCAGAAAGCCACGGCUAACUACGCG
rnacentral:rRNA from 1 species